CUGUAUGAAUGGCAUAACGAGGGUUUAACUGUCUCCCUCCCCCAGUCAAUGAAAUUGAUCUGCCCGUGCAGAAGCGGACAUAAACACAUAAGACGAGAAGACCCUAUGGAGCUUUAGACAAAAGAUCAAACAUGUAAAGAAACCAAACCAACCAAAAGGAACACAAAGGCCACAAAACCCAACGUAAAAUGAUCAAAAUGUCUUCGGUUGGGGCGACCAUGGGGGAAAGAAAAGCCCCCACGAGGAACUAAGGGCAAUCCAUUAAGCCAAGAGAUACACCUCUAAGCAACAGAAAAUCUGACCAAAAAUGACCCAGGACACUAAUCCUGAUCAACGAACCAAGUUACCCUAGGGAUAACAGCGCAAUCCUUUCCCAGAGUCCAUAUCGACGAAAGGGUUUACGACCUCGAUGUUGGAUCAGGACAUCCUAAUGGUGCAGCCGCUAUUAAGGGUUCGUUUGUUCAACGAUUAACAGUCCUACGUGAUCUAGC
rnacentral:rRNA from 1 species